GGUUAAAGUCAAUGGAAAAACUGGA
rnacentral:piRNA from 2 species